rnacentral:rRNA from 1 species
UACGAGGGGGGCAAAUGUUGUUCGGAAUCACUGGGCGUAAAGGGAGCGUAGGCGGGUUUUUAAGUCAGGUGUUUAAUCCCGGGGCCCAACCCCGGACAGGCACUUGAAACUGGGAAUCUUGAAUAGUGGAGAGGUCAGUGGAAUUGGGGGUGUAGCGGUGGAAUGCGUAGAGAUCCCCAAGAACACCCGUUGCGAAGGCGGCUGACUGGACACAUAUUGACGCUGAGGCUCGAAAGCUUGGGUAGCAAACGGG